ACUACGGGGGGCUGCAGUGAGGAAUAUUGGUCAAUGGCCGGAAGGCUGAACCAGCCAAGCCGCGUGAAGGACGAAGGUGCCAAGCAUUGUAAACUUCUUUUGUCAAGGGACAAAAUCAGGCUCGAGAGCCUGACCGAGGGUACGUGAAGAAAAAGCAUCGGCUAACUCCGUGCCAGCAGCCGCGGUAAGACGGAGGAUGCGAGCGUUAUCCGGAUUGAUUGGGGUAAAAGGGUGCGUAGGCGGACUGUUAAGUCAGCGGUAAAAGCCCGGGGCUCAACCCCGGCGAGCCGUUGAAACUGGCUGUCUUGCGCUGUCGAGAGGUCUGCGGAAUGCGCCGUGUAGCGGUGAAAUGCUUAGAUAUUGCGCAGAACUCCGAUUGCGAAGGCAGCAUCCCGGCGGCGAUCUGACGCUGAGGCAC
rnacentral:rRNA from 1 species